GUUCCAAACAUCUUCCAUUUAAGAAUGAUGGAGGCCACUGUGUUGUUGGGGACCUUCAAUGCUGCAGAAAUGUUUUGGUACCCUUCCCCAGAUCUGUGCCUGGACACAAUUCUGUCUUGGAGCUCAACAAACAAAUCCUUUGACCUCAUGGCUUGGUUUUUGCUCUGACGUGCACUGUCAACUGCGGGACCUUAAAUAGACAGGUGUGUGCCUUUCCAAAUCAUGUCCAAUCAAAUUAAUUUACCACGGGUGAACUCCAAUCAAGUUGUAGAAACAUCUCAAUGACGAUCAAUGGAAACAGGAUGCACGUAAGCUCAAUUUCAAGUCUCAUAGCAAAGGGCCUGAAAACGUAUAUAAAUAAGGAAUUUCUGUUUUUAAUAUUUUAUACAUUAGGAUAAAAAGCUAAAAACCUGUUUUCGCUUUGCCAUUGUGAGGUAUUGUGUGUCGAUUGAUGAUAAUAUAUGUUUUUAAAUAUAUUUUAGAAUAAGGCUGCAACGUAACAAAUUGUGGAAAAAGGGAAGGGGUCUUAAUGCACUGUAUAUUUACAAAGAAGUCAUUAUUAAUUGGCCCAUACCGGUUAAUUAGCCAGAUAUGUUUUUGGUCCAAUAGUAUAUUUAAAAUGAUCCAUUUUCCUUGAGGAUCGUUUAGCACAGUUUGCACAAUCGUAUUAAAAUUCUUGUUAAUUAAUAUAAUCACUCCUUUUGAGUUUCUUUGCCUAUGAAAAAUAUAUAUAUUUUUCUCUUUUAGCCAGGUAAAAAUGUAUAUUUUUUUGUGAUCUGUUAAGCCAUAACAGUUGUAACUGGCUAUAUUUAUUUUCCCACCACAACCAAUGUUUGUAAACUUAUUUGACCUUUUCUGCUGCUUUUGAAACACUGUUCGAUCCCUCCUUGGGGCACUUACUGUUAAGUAAAUAAAACGCUAAACAAUCACAAAACAGCAACUAUUUGUCACUAUGUAUUAUUAUUCUAAUAUGUAUUCAUUAUAGAAUUGUCAGUUAUUGAUGAUGAACCUUUAAACUACACUCUUCCUCCCCUCCCUUCCCAUCUCUCUAUUUUUAGCCACCCAUCUCUGCUUUUCUGCUUCAUAAAAAGCUGAGGUCUGGAACUCCUUCCAGGUCAUCUCUCUCUCCAUUCCUUGGCCUUGGUUGCCUGAUGACUCACCCUGAAUUUUAAUUGCUACAUACAUUCAUUGUGGAGAACAAAAGAUGUGGAUGGGUAGCCAGGGAAUGGCUUUGGUACAUAACAAAUUUUUUUUUUUGCAGGACAAUAAACAUUAGCCUGCCACUUCUGGGAACCCUGUUCACAUGUGAGUGCUGUUGAUGCCCUGUUUCAGCUCCAGAUGCCAAAAACCUGCACACACUCCCAGAGAGUUGCAGGUCUGCCGACUUCCUUUUGGUCAUUCAUUUUAAUCAGAGAAGUAUCUAAUAAACCAAACUGUUGCUUUAACUGUGAAUGUACUUUAUUGCACACAAUCCUCAAAUAAAAUGGAACAUACAUAAAAUAAACAAUGUAUUUACAUUGGGUCUAAUGUGUGUUUUCUCUUAGAGUGAGGCCUGUUUUUCAACUCAGAAAAUGUACACAAUAGUCUUAUACAAUAUUAACAGUCACACUUUUAUUGGAUAGAUAUUUAGAGUAAUUAUGUAGAUAUUGAUAAUGGAUAUGUAGUCGUAGAUAUCUCCAAUCCUAAUAUAAAAUGGAACAUGCAUAAAAUAAACAAGUAAUUACAAUUUAUUUACAUUGGGGAUUAUGUGUGUGUGACAGAGACGGAGAGUGUGUGUGCAUGUUGUGUUUUAUUUUUCCUUGUCAACCACCCAUCUCUGCUUUGUCAGUCUUGCCAGGCCCAGUGUAUGCACUUCUGUGUGAGGCUGUCGGGCAAUGGUGGAGUGCAUGGCAGACCUGAAAGAGAGAUGCACAAAGUGACAGUGGUGGUUCUGGUGGUGGACUACAGGUGCUGGUGCACCCCCUAGGGGGAGGUGAUCCACCCGGACCAAACCUGUGCCGUUCCCGGAAUGAAGAUCACGGACAGCCUGAUACUGAUCCGAGAUGCCAUCUGUUAUGCGAGAGACAGAAACAUGCGGCUUGUAGUCCUAAAUUUAGAUUUUGAAAAAGCCUUUGGUCGGGUCUCGCACCGGUACUGCAAAAAUGGGUUUCCCAGACAGGUUCUUAGCACGGGUAGAACUGCUGUACGGGGACAUUACCAGCAAAAUCCUUGUAAAUGAGCAUCUGUCAAAAUCAGUGGGAGUACACUGCGGCGUCCAUCAGGGCUGUCCGUUAUCUCCUCUUCUGUUCGUGGCCUGUAUUGAACCACUGGCACAGGUCUUGAGAAGGGACCAACGGAUCAGUGGGGUGGGUAUCCCAGGGAGUGGGGACUGCCAAGUGCGUUUUUUACAUGGACGACGUCAACAUUUUAUGUACCGACCUUUUAUCCGUCGACAGGACCCUGGACAGGACUGACUGGUACAGACGAGCCUCUGGGGCGAGACUGAACAGAGACAAGACAGGCCCAAUUUUUCGGACCGUGGGCAGACCCAGACUUGACCAGACUACCACUGACGGUUAAACCGACGGACAUAAGGGUAUUGGGGGUAAAGUUUGACCGGGAGGGAGGAGGGAGCGGAAAUUAAAGUGGGAUCCUGGGGACAGUAAGACAGAGACUGGAUUUUUGGGGACUACGACAGCUGACUUUUGAGGGCAAGGUUUUAAUCGUUAAAGCUGUGAUUUUACCUGUGCUUUUACUAAUCAGUUCUGUUUUUAUCCCCCUCGACGGAGUAUUUUAGCCCUGGAGCGGAUGCUUUUUUACUUCCUGUGGGGAAGCAAGUGGGAGAGGCUGAGGAGGGAGGUGGUCAAGAGGCCCAGGUCCAAGGGGGGUAAAGGCUUGCCUGACCUCUACUUGUUCCUGGGCAGCCGCUACACAGCGUUACAUCUGACUCUUGCUUCUGACUCUUAAGACAUUUUCAACUGGAAAAGGAAGCAGUCACAGUUUUAACUAAACACCGCUCUCUUCUCUCUCUUGUGCAGGAUCGGGAACCAGUGUGUCCAGUACGCGGGCUUGCUAUAGGCGAGCCCACAACGGUUUGGCGUAACGUGGCCCAUACUGCUCUCCUGAAUUGGCAUCAGGACCUGUCCUGGAUGGUCGCCCACGAGAUCCUCCCGGUCAGGGCCGUUAUGCACUCACGGGGCAUGGCGAAGACAUCCGCGUGCCCCCAACCAGGCUGUGGCCAAGAAGAGUCGAUGAGGCACCUGCCCUGUGAGUGCAGAGCUGCCAGCGACCUGUGGAAGGAAACAGGCCCCCUGAUCACCCCGUGUCUGCCAGCAGGGGAGGACCUAACACCUCAGCUCGUGCUCUAUGGGGUGGGCCGAAGGCCUUCACCAAGUUCUGGCCCACCCUCACAUGCCUGAAGGAAGCACUGUGGUCCUCCCGUAACUUGCUGGUAGCGAAACAAGUAGACACCACGCCCCAGGCAGUGGCCAUGGUAGCCACGGAAGCCCUGGGUGGUACGGAAGGAAGGGGGCCUCGACCCCAGGCGAAGGGUCCCCCACAACACCCUAGGUCCCAGCGCUGCAGCUGACAGGCCGUGCUCCAUCUCCGGCCUCUUCAACGGUGGUUCAACUCCCACCGGCGGCACCAAAAGCGCCACCGUCAUCACCAGCUGCGGGUGACUGCACAGUGCCUCAAGGCAUUGUUGAGGUGGCGCUGUCGCUCCUUUCUCUCAGGUGGGUUGGAGAUGCUGAGGAUGUACCGCCAGGAGCUAGUCAGCACAGACGCCUCCAUGAGCAGGUCAGCGGCUGUUGGCUACCCCCUUGGAGAGACAGGCAUAUCAAUACACUAGAGCUGUACUGCUGGCCCUGGGGUCUUUCCUUCCACAUCUGCCACAGUGGUGGCUUACAUCAACCAUCAGGGUGGACUAUAGUCCCACCGCCUCCAUCUUAUGACACGGGAGCUCCUUCUCUGGGCUCAGGGCUGUCUAGCGUCUCUAUGCACAGCGCACGUACCUGACAUCCUGAGUGUGGCAGCGGAUAUGCUAUCGAGGGAGGGUCCGCCACUUUGGGACUGGAGCCUACAUCCCCAGGUGGUGCAGCACCUGUGGGAAGGUUCGGGAGUGCGCGGGUGGACCUGUUUUCUCCCUGGACAAUGCACACUGCCCCCUGUGGUACUCCAUGUCAGAGUCUUCAGGGCCUCUGGGCUUGGAUGCUCUGGCUCAGCAUGUGGAACCUCAGUAGGGCUGGAGCUUUAUGCAUUCCCCUCUUUUCCUCUGAUCCAGGCUGUGCUGGACAAGACUAGGAUGGCAGAGCAUUGUCUGCUUCUGGUGGCCCCUUUCUGGCCCAGGCGACCUUGGUUCAGCCUUCUCCUAUCCCUGUUGUCUGGGACAUCUUGUCAAGUUCCCCUGCGACCGAACUUGCUGUCUCAGGCCGGGGGAACUCUGUGGUAUCCAAGACCACAAUGUCUCAGUCGGUGGGCUUGGCCACUAAAUGGCACCAAUGAUCCAUGUUAGGACUACAGCAGGGUGACAUGAACACCAUGCAGAUUGCAAGGGCGCUGGCUACAACCGCGGCAUACCAGUUGCGCUGGCGGUUGUUCUGCUCUUGGUGAACUGGUAUUGAGGUUGUGCCCGAGUCAUGUGGAGGGCAGUAUGUCCUCCAAUAACUUGCAGUCUCGCUUGGAUGAGGGCUUGGCAGCCUCUACACUGAGUGGGUAUUUGGCCGCUAUAUCUGCCUGCCAUGUGGGGUGGAUGGACAGGCCAGUGGGGCGCCAUCCCUUGGUCUCCAGGUUUAUGAAGGGGAUUCGUCGCCUGCGUCCAGCUAGGAGCGGACGCGGUCAGUGAAAACAGACCAGCUCUUUGUCUGCUAUGGUGAACAAGUCCUACGGGCUGGGCUAUCAAAGCAGAGGCUCUCUCACUGGAUCGUGGACACGAUUAUGACAGCAUACCACCUGGCUGGCAUAACAGUGCUGGGAUCUGUGGUGCCACAUUCAACACGAGGUGUGGCUGCAUCCUGGGCUCUACUGAGGGGAGUGCCACUCGCUGAGAUCUGUGCUGCGGCCAGCUGGGCUUCCUCUUGCACCUUUGCUAGGUACUUUUGGGUAAAUGUGGCACCUCCCUCUGCGUUUAGUUCAGCUGUCCUGGCCGUCGCCUCCCCUUCCGGGGACAGUGCCCGGACCCCCUUCCACAUUGACAGCCCCUGCGUCUCAGUCCCGCGCUGGGACUUCUUCGCAGGCUGGCCAGGUCCCUCUAGCACCAACUAAUCUGGUACGUGUAUUCCAAUAUAUUGGAGUGAUCCAAUAUACUGAAACAUAACGAAGGUUACGUAUAUAACCACGGUUAUGUGAGCUAUAUGGAUCACACCAAUCCUCUAUAGUGCUAGAGGCGCCUCAAAAAUGUAGGGGCGUACCACCAGGUGACACAGGUGUACACGGGAGUAAAUCUGUAAAUACUCACCUCGGAUGUAUCCCUCCGCCACGGAGUGAUACCAAUAUAUUGGAGUGAUCCAUUUAAAAUCAGCAAAAAAAGAAACAGCCCUUUUUCAUGACCCUGUCUUUCAAAGAUAAUUGGUAAAAAUCCAAAGAUAUUCAUUGUAAAGGGUUUAAACACUGUU